CUGAGGGGCGGUGCUGCUGCUGAGGGGAGGCGGUGACGGUGCGGCUGUGGUGCCGCUGAAUGGAAGCGGUGAUGGUGCGCUCGCGGUGCUGCUGAGGGGAAGCUGUGGCGAUGCGGCGGCGGCGCCGCUGCGGGGAGGCGGUGACGAGGUGGCGGCGGCGGCGCCGCUGCGGGGAGGCGGAGGGCCGGCCAUGUUGGAGGGAGGCUGAGCUGCGGCCCCACCGAGCCGGGCGGCCGCCGCCUCUCCGCCCCUUGGAGAGCUUGGGGUGGCGGGGAGCUCUUCGUCGGGUAGCGUCCAUGACCUGCUGGGGUUGCCGGUUCGGGCCGGGAGUGAGGCAGGAGCGGGGCGCACCCCGGCCCGUCAGGGCGCGUUGGGGUGGCCUCGCUGCCUCUGUGAGGCGCUGGAGCCGCCGCUGAGCGACCGCCGCGUGCGCUUUGGUCCCGUUACCGACGGCCAGGUGAGAUGCAGACAACAAGAGUUACCACUUUCCGUUUCUCGUGCCUGUGGCUGAAAUGUGGAACGGACCAGUCCCAAUGCUACAGAAGGAACAAACAACAGAACCAACUCAGAUUUCAGUUCCUGGUUACAGGAUUCAGAUGGCUUCGGGCACCGCCCACCCGGCACCGGCGGAGCGCUUUGAGCGGCGCGCCCGGAAGUGGCGGAGCGCUUUGAGCGGCGCACCCGGAAGUGGCGGGUGG